AGGCCCCAGAUGUGGAAGGCUCUGUGUGGAGGCUGCAAUUUUCAAUGCUUACAGGUAGCACCCCAAUCGAUAAUGUCUCUUUAUGAGAAAUUACCGUUAAUGUUAUUGAGUAUGCAUUUGGCUUUAUAGGAUAAUAAGGUAAUAUGAAAUGCCAAUUCAUUCAUUAGAAGGGAGCUAAGUGCUUAAAUGAAAUGGGUGACAGGUCUGGAGGGGGAACGAGGGAAGAAGGAGAGAGUGAGAGAGGCCAUAACAAAAGAGGUAGUCAUGGGAAGGAAGUAAGGAAUGGAUUUCAAAUGACCUAAGAACCCCUCCACCCACCCCAAUGAUUUUAAGCCGUAUAUUUGCAUUGGCUUUCGGUAAGCAAUAUGCAUUUGGAGAUUAAGUUGUUGGAGCGUUCACAGGUCAGGGAGCUGUUCAGGCUGAAAGUGGGAUCUGAUCUUUCAAAGGGGGCAGCAAAAGCCUAUUGGAGCCAGGCCAGAAAUGUGGGCAAGCAGAACUCGUAUGGGCACUCUCUGGCCUUGCAAUCAAUUGGUGGAACUGGCAGAGCCAGCCGUUGGCAUCUCCCAGUGCUUUUUUUUUCUUAAAAAAAAAAAGUUUAGAGCAGGGGUAUGCAACCUAAGGCCCGGGGGCCGGAUCUGGCCCAAUUGCCUUCUCAAUCUGGCCUGCAGACAGUCUGGGAAUCAGUGUGUUUUUACAUGAGUAGAAUGUGUGCUUUUAUUUAAAAUGCAUCUCUGGGUUAUUUGUGGGGCACUACAACGCAACAGUAACCACUUUCUGUAACUAUCCAAUCACUGAACGUCACUUUCAAUUCCUUAUUUGCAUAUGUGAACCUGAGUAAAAACUAUCUACAGUAUCCCUCUGCUGGCCCAGGGUGAGAACUUCAGUACAUAACACUUUCCAACAUUUAUUUGUUAGUGUGUGAUUUUCUUUUUUGUACAUCUACCAAAGAAUAAAAUAAAAUAAAAUCAGGAUUAAGGGGUUUCUCGGGACGGGGAGAAUAUGUGCUGUGUCCCAUUGGUAAAGUAGUGGUAGCAUUCACCCUUCCUCUGACAGGAAAUGCUUCGGGUGGUGGUGGACAAAAAAUAGGAGGCUGAGAAAGGUCAGAUGAGGGGAGUCCUUGUUUUCAUCUGAGGAAUGUUAGAGGGUGUGGCUCUCACUGCUGGUUUACCUCUGUUCUCUGAGCAUCCGAGCAGCAACAAGAGAGAGAGGAGGCAGAACAGCAUCCUCCACUUGCCUUUUCAAUUUUGCACCAAAUACAGACACGCAGACAGAAACACACACACACACACACACCCCACUGGGCCUAAUCUAGAGGUUUCCUGUGCCUGAUACAAAGACUUGGUCCAGAAAGACCUAUAUGCACCAUUUGAUGGAAAGGUGCGGUCCAAACCAAGCAAACAAAUAUGCAAAUGAGCAUUGCUGCAAUGGAGAUUUAUUUGCUGAAGAUGUACAUUUCUAUCCAGAUUCAGGGUCCAGAUGGCUGGGUACCAGCAGAGGCAAGAGGCAGUUUACCCCAAUUUGCACUGAGAAAUUCCCUUUGCUGGGUGCUAUCCUUCAUCCUCUGAUUUCUGGAACAGGCCUUUUCCAUUGUGAAAUUUGGUGCAUUUUUGUGAUUUUGGGCACAUGAAACAGAAGUUCCUUAAAUACAAAUCUCCCCCAUGCCCUGUGCAUAAUGCAAAAUGUUAGAUUUGAGGCAACAUGGAUUUAGUAUCUUUCUGCCAUAAAAAAAUGGUAGGGCUGUUUGGCUAGUUCCGUCAACUUUUCCUUACUAACAAGAGUGCACUUGAACCUAGACUGAAGAGCCGUCUUCACUAAUAAAUGAAGGUAUUUGUGUAUGAAGAAAGUAUUGUUAUUUAUAAUUCAUUAUACUUCUCUUUAAAAAUUUACAGUCGGGGAGCAGAAUCGAUAUCUUUUGAUGCACCAAUCAUACACCGUUGGCUCUACAGAGAGAAAGCAAGGAUGAUGACUAUGAUUGAUGAUGAUGUUAAUAAAGGUAAUGAGUUGUUACCGGGAACUGAUACAGUUGUGAUGGCUAAACGCAAAAGGCAGUGUCUGGGCAAGAAGAUUCCUCUUAACAAUUCUGGGGAGAUAGUCACGUAAACAGAUCUGGCUUCCCCAUCUCAAGACUAGCGACCUGUAUACAUGAUGCAUGGAAGAGUCAGCCAACGAGAGCAGGAAUAGACCUGUGUGCACCUUGCGCUAAGGUGCUGGGGUUUGCAUUCACUGCCUUGCUGCUAUUGAACUGUAAUGAACUGCAGGGUUGAUCUCAUUUCCUCAGGAGCCAAAGGCUGCAAUCAGACAGCACUUUACUCCAUUUCCCCAAUGUUUUCAUACCUGAAGAUUUCCACUUUUUUGCCAUCUUCCACAUGACAAUAAAAAGCCAC
rnacentral:lncRNA from 1 species